GGAGGGGUGGCCGAGAGGUUUAAGGCGUCGGUCACGGCGGCCGACGUGCUGCAAAGCACCGUGGGUUCAAAUCCCAUCCCCUCCG
rnacentral:tRNA from 1 species